GUCGGGAUAGCCUAGACUAGACUUUUCAGGAACCUUGGUUAGAAAUAUUUUUGAUACUUUGACAGCGCGUGUAAAGUAUACAUUGUGAAAAUUCAACAAAGUCUUACUCUACAUAUAUUUCAGGAAAUGAAUGGUCAAAAUUAGAAUGUUUUAAUUUCGCAGCAUCAGUACUUCAGUGACUUUUACUCCGAAAUGUUUAAAUUUAUAUUCACGCUCUCUCUUGGCAUUUAUGCUGGGAUUUACAUCAGCCAGAAUUAUGAGGUACCUAGAGUGGAUGAACCCAGCAAAAUAAUAGAAAGAAUAAAGGAAUUCGCUGAAGAACGCAAGAAGAAAUAGAUUUCAAAAAGAAAUUUCUACUAUGUACAGUGAAUUAAUAACCGUAUUUGAUUAUAAUUGUAAAUAUGCCAAUUAUGUCGCUAGUUUAUAAUUAUACAUACGUUUUAUUUACACACUUUUUAUAAAAUAAAAUUCUUGCCAAGAUUCAAAA